UCAGAUCCAAUGGGACACAUAGAAAAUAUUGUCUAAGGAAAACUUCAGAGAAUCAAGCUUUUUUUGGUGGUUUGGCAUGAUGUCUUCUGUGCAAUCAAAUUUCAAAUUCUUGGCUUUAAUAUUGAUUGUGUGUCUUUCCUUUUUGCGCUGCGGUCCAAACAGCUUUUUGCAAAAUUUUUAAUUUUUUUUUUUAUUAAAAUUGAGUGCAGUUUGUAUUUUUUGGAUCGUUUUGAUGUGCUGAUAUCAAAAAUGAUUUUUAAAAAAUGAAAAAACAUUAUUGGCAUGCUUUUCGACACGAAAAGCUAUUUGAAAAGCAACAGCUACCACACUUCCAAACACCCUCUUAAAUGCUUUGAUUAGUAUGAUAGCAAGUUUGUACAUUUGAAUAAACUCAAUUUCAUUUCCGCAAAUUGCUAUUUGCACUUAUUAGAGAUUGUUCAUUCUAUGCACUGAUAUAUUUUAGUUUAUUGAAUUGAGUUGCAGUUAUUGAAUUUAGCCUGGCACUAUUUAAUUUUUCAUCCAACAACAUACCAG
rnacentral:lncRNA from 1 species